rnacentral:rRNA from 1 species
CCUACGGGAGGCAGCAGUGGGGAAUAUUGCACAAUGGGGGGAACCCUGAUGCAGCGACGCCGCGUGAGUGAAGAAGUAUUUCGGUAUGUAAAGCUCUGUCAGUAGGGAAGAAAAUGACGGUACCUGACUAAUAAGCCCCGGCUAACUACGUGCCAGCAGCCGCGGUAAUACGGAGGGGGCAAGCGUUAUCCGGAUUUACUGGGUGUAAAGGGAGCGUAGACGGUAGCGCAAGUCUGGAGUGAAAGCCCAUGGCUUAAACAUAGAACUGCUUUGGAAACUGGGCAGCUAGAGUGCAGGAGAGGGAAGCGGAAUUCCUGGUGUAGCGGUGAAAUGCGUAGAUAUUAGGAGGAACACCAGUGGCGAAGGCGGCUUACUGGACUGUAACUGACGUUGAGGCUCGAAAGCGUGGGGAGCAAACAGGAUUAGAUACCCGGGUAGUC